AGAGCCAGGAGAAGCCUCUCCUGUUGGCCAAAGAGCAUGGAGUGGGGGGAAUGGGAAAAUCCUAAAGAGGGGAGAGCUGGAAAGGCGGACCCUCUCUCCCUGUGUGUAUGACUUUCCAUAUGUCCUGGGCUCACUCCUGAGCUGGUGUGCACAAGACAGACCCAAGGAACUCUGGCAAAGUCGACAAGAAAUGAAAAUGAGAUCAAAACUACUGUUAGUAGAAAGUGACACAGGAUUUGCAAUCUGAGCCUAAUUGGGUUGAUUGCCUGCUUAAACAAACAAAAUAUUUCUCAGACAAUUUUAGUAAGACCCAGAGUUGACACAGCCCAGUAUCCAAAAUUGCUUAAGUAGGAAGACCAGGAUAAUGUGACCAAUUUCCAAGGAAAAAGUCAAUCAAGAGAUGCCAGCCUCGAGAUAAACCAGAUGUUAGAAUUAUCAGACAUAAAAGCAACUGUUAUAAUUAUGGCCCAUGAGAUGGAAGAUAAACACACUUGAACAGAAAGAUAGAAGUUCUCAGCAGAGAAAUUGUAAAAAAGAAUCACAUGGAAAUUCUAUAGCAAAAGAUACAAUAUCUGAACUUAAAAACGACUAGAUGGGCAAUAGAAAAAUGGAAAUGAAAGAGUCAGCAAACUUGAAAGUAAAUUAGUAAGUGUCCAACUUUAAUGAUGCCUUUAAAGUCUUAAAGGUGGAUGAGGCUUUGAAAAGCAAAAUGUAUCUGACUGUAAUUAGCUACAGGGAGCCCCAAUAAGAUAUUAAUCCAAGUACAUUCUUGUGGCUUCCUGAGAUACAUACGAAGAAAUUCCUGCUGUUUGUCAAUUACGUUGAGUAAGGAAUUCGCAUUAUCAUAGGCCCAACUGUAAUGAUUAUGCAAAUGUUCUACUACAGCGUCUUACACAGGCUUACUAUGUAGAAAACAUGUCACAUAUGUUCUGCGACUUACAAUGUCCAAGGUGAUGCAUGCAUUGACAAAGAAAGGUUUCCUAAUCGGCUCCAUUAAGUUGUGUACCUGCAGCCAAAGCAGUUUUGAAACAUAGGAGUGUCAUCACUAGGUAAUUGCCAAGCUCAUCAUCAGAGUCAGCGCCUGGGAAAUUGAUUGGCUCGCCUGCUCAUGUUAACUCUUUGAUUCAGCUUUUGUAAUAGGACCUCUCCCUAAAUAUAGAUGUUAUUACAGUGAUACUGUAUGAAAAUUGACCUAUCUUGUAGGCACAAUACAUGCUUUUCAAUUUUAUAACAAAAAAAAAAUGCUGUUAGUACUUAGGAAUCUGUUAUGAGAAAUCAUUAAGGUGAAUUUGGAGUAAGAUUGAACUGGUAUAUUAUGUUUGGAAAAAUGACUUCCUGCUGAAGGAAGAGAAUUUCAAGGCUUUAGAAUACCUCCCAUUGUUACAUUAGCACCAUAUUGCUCUUAAGAGGUAGCGUAAAUUCUUGUAAUGCUGGUGAUAAUUCUGGAUUUAAGAGUUUAACAAGUGUUGCCAUUUAAUUCGUAUAAGAUAGGAAGCACAGUUAUAUCCAUUUUAUGCAUGAGGAAUCGAGGUAUAGAAACGUUCAGUAACCUAGAGAAACUAGCCUAGAAAAACUAGUAAGUGGCAGAGCCAGGACUGAAGUUCAGGUCAGCCUGAGCGCCAAGCCUAAGCCACUAACCAUGUGUUACAUAUGUUACUUCCUAUAGCAACUAAAGGAGAAAUUUCAUGUUUCUUUUUUUUUUUUUUUUAAAGUUUAUUUUGUGUGUGAGAGAGAACGAGCAUGAGCAGGGGAGGGGCAAAGAGAGAGGGAGAGAAUCCCAAGCAGGCUCCACACUGUCAGCGCAGAGCCUGAUGCAGGGCUUGAUCCCACGAACCACGAGACCACGACCUGAGCAGAAAUCAAGAGUCGAAUGCUUGACCGACUGAGCCACCCAGGCGCCGCUCAGGUUAUUUUAAAAGGGCAUAGCCUUCAAGCCACAAAGGGUAGAAUAGUAGUCAAAGCAGUGGUUCUCGCGUUUUUUGGUCUCAGGAUUCUUCUUUUUUGGCCGCAAAGAGGGUUUAUUAAAAAUAUGGAACGCUUCACGAAUUUGCGUGUCAUCCUUGUGCAGGGGCCAUGCUAAUCUUUCUGUAUCGUUCCAAUUUUAGUAUAUGUGUUGCCAAAGCGAGCACAGUCUCAGGAUUCUUUUAAACUCCUGAAAUUUCUUGAGGACCUCAAAGAGCUUUUGUUUAUGUGGGUUAUUUAUACUUACUGAUAUUUUCCUCUAUUCGAAAUUAAAUCCGAGACAUUAUUACCUGAGAAAUAUUUAUUAAUUAAAAAUAACAAUAAACUCAGUACGUAUUAACAUAAAUAACAUUUUUUAAUGAAGAUAAUUAUGCUUUCCAAAACAAAACUUUGGUGAUGAGGAUGGCUUCUUUAAAAAGAAAAUACAUUUCUUCCCCAAGUAUCUAUUAAUGCUUGGCUUAAUAGAAAACAGCUGGAUUUUCACAUAUGCUUCUGCAUUUAAUCAGUUGUGAUAUGUUGUUUUGGUUGUAGUAUAUAAAGAAAAUAGAGCUUCUGUACACAGAUAUGUAGUUAGAAAGGGAGAAGUAUUUUAAGAGCCUUUUCAGAUAGUUGUAGGUAUUCUUACCUGAUACCAUCAAACUCAAGUUGUCAUUUUUAAAAAGGUUGUUGCAGUGUGGGAUUGGGAAACCUCAUCGAACUUUUGUGCUCUGUUUAAUUCAAACCUGUUGCUUUAUCUUGUUCUUUGAAUGGUCUUUUACCCAUGUAUAAUUUUGUAACAUCAUGCAUGGAUUAUUUGGAACAUAUUGGCUCACUGAUUUGUAUAGAUCUUCCAAAUGUGGGCACAUUUCAUUGUAAAUGUAAAAAAGGGGAAAGCACAUAUGCUAAUAUCAUCUUGAGCUCAGCAGAAAAGUCUUUAAAUACUGGGAAGCUAUCAAGUUCAUAGUAGCAGAAACAAGUUAUUUAAAAUAUUUAUUUUUACUUGAAAGCUUGAAUUUUAUCACCGAAAAUACAUACUGUUAAUUGUUUUUCCAAAAGGGACUCGGUAUCCCACUGGGGCCAUAGGCCACACUUUGAGGGUCACUGGUGUAAGAGCUUAGAUUGGGGAGAAGCAAGUUAGAAAACAUUUGUCUAAAGGUCCAAACAAAUUAAUUUUCAGGGUGCUGAAGGAACUUGAAGACGAGGUCUCAGAAUCACUGGCAGUGGGGGAAUGGGAGAGAGUUCAGACAUGUAGGAAUGAGAAAAGACUGCCUUGCCUCUCCAGAGGGAUGUAUUCUGGGUAACUCUGAUUCCCAGAAAAAGACUAUGGGAUAUUCCGUAGCAGGUAGCUUAAGAUUACAAAAUAAUUCUGUGAUUGCCAGAUGUGGUGAAGGCUAGGAGGUCAUCUCAAAUAUCAUUUUUUCUUUCUGAUCAUGUGACACAAUGUGUCACAUGGUAUAUACACUGAGCUAUUUGAAUAACUACAUAAAGACAGUUGAAGAGUAAUUUGUGUGGGUACUGCUUGUACAAAAUGGCACAUGUUGCUUUUGAUCAGAAAAUCAAACAUAAAUUAUACAUAAUAUAAUUUCUCAUAAAAGAAAAUUUAUAGAAUACCUACCAUAUGCAAAAUGUGGUGUUGGGAAAAUGGCAGCUCUGAGGGGCACAUAUGAGGAAGUAGCAUGGCAUUGUGGGAAGAUCAUAGCAUUAGGAGUCGGGACACUUGAAAAUGUGUUCAUCCUGGUUUUCCACCAACUCAGUGGCUGCCCUUGGGCAAGUGACUUUGAUUCUAGACCUACGCUUGAUAUCUGUCAUAUUAAAGAAGUUAAGGCCUCUGAAAGGGAUGGAGUUGUGCUCUCUUAUGCCAUGGAGCGUAACCAGAGUUGACAAAUGGGAUCUUGGAGAUGUCAGUUUGCCUCACGGUGGCUAACUUCCUAUCUCCGUGAGGUCCAUUACUGAAGCCACUAGCCUCACAUGGCUAUUGAGCACUCAAACUAGGACUAGUCUAAAUUGCGAUUUGCUCUCAGUGUAAGUUACACACCAGAUUUUGAAGACUUCAUAUGAAAAAUAGAAUGUAAAAUAUCCCAUCAGUAAUUUUCAUAUUAAUUUCAUGUUACAAAAGAUAAGUUUUGGAUGCAUUGGGCUAUGUUAAAGUAUUAUUAAAUUAAUUUCAUCGGUAUUUUUAAAAAAUACCUGGCUACUAGAGAGCUUAAAAUUACAUAGAUGGCUCACGUUAUAUUUCUUUUAGACAGUGCUGUUCUAGCUAACAGAGUUUCCAACAAACGAACAGUAACUUGAAGAAGAACAUAAAUUUACGUUUAAUUUUACUUUUUGAGGUUUGCAAGCAGAACCCGGGUCACAGUUUUGAGAAGACAGCCUCACAGAAGACUGCGUGUGCUAUGCAGCUGGGCUAUACUGGGUUCUCCAUCUGCACUUGGAUCUUCAAAGAUCACUGUUUGGAUGACCAUGCAGGCGCAGAGAACCGAGACAGUGAUGUUAGGAAGCUGGUGAAAACGCUCCCCUAUUUAUUUCUGCCUGCUUGUCUGUGACCAGUGUUUCACAAAAGGAGUGAGAAAUUAGUAACCACAUGCUGGGUAAGAUGUUCACGAGAAGGUCAGGAAGCUUGUUUGUCAACCUUAAUUGACAACUGAUGUUUAAAAGGCGAAGCAUCAUUCUCGUAAUUUGAUGGGAGAAAUUGCUAUUUAAUGCCAGAGGGGGAAGAGCUACCAUAUGCAAAAGCCUGUGGAAAUGAGAAAGACGGACAAAAUAAUCCCCUUUUUGUUUUAGGAAAACGUAAAGUGGUGCCCCAGGGAUUGUUGGCAAAUAUUAUCAUCUUUGAAAGCUACUACUUAACACAAAUUCCGGGAAACCAGAGGCUUCUGGGUAAUGUGAAUCACAAGGAAAGAAUGCCCCGUUUUGUGGCUGAAACUUUUUAAUGGAAUACUGGUUGAUCUUAGCGAAGAAGGCCAGGGGUCAGGGUCAGUUUGGGAGAAUUUUCUGCCUGUUUCUGUAGAGGCCCCUACAUAAAACACUUCUUUCUCGGCCUGAUUGAAAUGUUUCAUGUGAUCACCUACCCGUGGGAGCCACUCACAUCUCCAGAGAUAUGCUUCCUCCUUUUUCCCUCUGUUGCCUAACUUGAGAUAGAGCUUAAUAGGGCUCUACUCAUUCUUUAAAUGAACAUUUAUUAAGCACUGGUUGCCUCCAUGCCUCCUGUAUUUGACGAUCUUGAUUUAGAGAUGGUGUAUCUGAGACAGGAUCCCCUUAGCCAAACAGAAUCACUCUACGUUUUAAACCAGAGGGCAUUUACUACAGGGAAUUGGUUACCUGAUGAGGGGGAAACUGAGAUGCCAAAGUGGGUGGUAAGGCCACCCAGGGGUUAUCGUAAGAGCAGGCAACUGCUUCGGCCCCAGGGCUGCAGAGGGCCGGGGGGAACUCUUGGGGGGGAUUGUUGUGGGGUGUCCAGGAGCAUCACAGAAAGCUGAGAGGAGGGGAGAGAUAUCCUGACUCCUUUGGGUUUCUAGCUUUCUGAUCUUUCACUGGUGUCUUCACAGGCCAAACCCAUCCAGAACUGGAGGAAAGGGAGGAAGAAGUUCCUCGUAAUACAGAGUACAGCACUAGGAGAGAGAUGGGUGUGGCUGCGUGUCCUUAUUCCAAUCUAAGCAAUGUGUGCAGAAGUGAAUCGUGCUUCAUUUUGGUGAGAUGGGGCCUUUGGGACCUACCCUGUGCUGGGCUUUAUGCUUUUCCUCUUCCUGGCCGACUGGGUUGAGACCUUGGAAACCAAGUCAGGAAGAGGCUGGAGCUGCCAUCAGCACAGGCCUCCCUACUGUCUGGAAACAUACCCUGGACCAUAUGUGAGCCAGAAAUAAACAUUUCUUAAUGUGA